GAAGGUGGGUGAGAACUUAGUAAGCGGAAAGGAAGGAUGGGGGAUGGCUAGUGGAAAAGGAUUUGGUUGCGGAGCGAACGAGAGGGGAACGGUACCUGUCCUGUUUGCAGCGCCGGCGACGGGGCGGCGGGCAUGGGUACCGCCGCGGGCAGCAGGGCCAGCUAGACUGCCAGCAGUUCUUCGAGGAGCCUCCGCCGCCGCUGGACCGCCAGGUGCUGCGCAGACCGCCAGAGCGGAAAGCGCAGUGCCGCCGCCUGCCAACACCGUCCUCCACGCCUCCCUCCCGCGAGGAGCUGCGGAGGCCCUCGUGAGACCAGUGACGGUCCUGGUCGCUCCCACGCACCGUCCGUAAGUCUCCUUAAUCAACCCUUGUCUUUCUGUAUUAAAAAAGUUGUUUCCAUUACACACGAAGAAGUCUAGCUUUCCUCCAUGUACAGAAACAGGGCGGCUCUUCGUGUAGACUCCUCGUUUUUGGUUCGAUGUAUGAGCAUCCUUUAGGUAGAGCUUCUCGUACGUGCUAAUAUUCCCCUUUGAGGUAACAACGAGUCUGUUUAGAGGGCAUGUUUGAGUUAUUCCGGCAGAUAAGUUCCGCCUUCAAAUCCCACUGCUAAAUGGGUCCUUUGCUAUUGUAAGACUAGUACCGUUACCAAUACUGGAAGGAACAAGUUUUUAUUGUAUCCACUACUUAUGCUUGUAACGAAAGUCUUUCGAGUCUCCUACUAAAUCAAUUAAGAAGAGAGUGAUUGGUUAACGUGAAUGACCUGCUUUUUUCCUAAGAGCUUGUACGUGGGUUUACGCACAGCAAAAGAAUGACCUUUCUGACUAUACAACAUUUAUAAAACAACCACAGGUCAAAGUAAAAAAAAAACCGAUCUGAUGAUGCAUGUAGGUUCAAAAUGUACAAGUACGGGAUUUAUGAAAAGAGCGUAAGUAACCGUAGUUCCCUACCUAUCCUGUACCAUGAUACUUUGGGUCGUAAUAGAAGACUAGUUCUGUCGUCAUACACAACGUAUUAACACCGAUAUUAGGCCUAAUGGCUGGUCUACAAACAAGAUCAACAAUACCUCCCGUACCUUUUAGUAUGGUCUUAGAGUCGGGAACAUGGCUCGAUCACUUAAAAGGGGAGUUUUCCUUCUUUUAUCGAUCACUUAAAAGAAAAGAAUAAUCUGUUACUUACUUGAUAAUUUAAAGGACGCGUCCAAGGAUUACUUCGUCUGCGGAAGUCAUCUUUCCGGAAUUCGGGAACUCGUGGGUGUGCUCUUUGUCACAAGGUAAUCUUACUAUGUAAGAGAGACUUUUGAAGACUCUUGAACUCAUUCCGCAAGUUACUUUAAGACGUUGUCCUAUUCUCUUCAACUCGUGGUUUCAAAACAGCACAGGUGAAUAGCGGCUACUACUUUACAUAUUUAAAAUAUUGUUUACGAUAGAACUGACUUAUCUACCUUAGUCACUUUCAUACCCGUUAGUAAAGUCGCGAACUUAAUGGUCUUGGAAACUUACGAAUCCCGCGGCAGUGAACCGCUCCAAGAGCCUCAAGUGUUAUGUGACCG
rnacentral:rRNA from 1 species